rnacentral:lncRNA from 1 species
ACGAACAGUGUAUUCAGUUUUUAUAUUUAGGAAUUAGGAUAAAACAUUCGGACAUUAAUAACAAGAUCAGAUAAAUAAUACUGUAAUAAGCUUUGGUAAUAUUUUUAUAUACAUCGACCACCACCACACUAAUGUAUACUUUAAUUUAAUGUAUAAGAUGCAACCAACACUAUUAAAGACUUAAUUAUUCUAUUAACUGAUGUAGUUAAACUAUAGCUAAAGCUUAUUAAGGUCACUCUCCUUCACGAAUAGCCCAUGGAAUCCGUACGGAACCCUUCGCGGUAACCUCACGGCGGCGACGAU